UACGGGGGGGGUAAGCGUUGUUCGGAAUUACUGGGCGUAAAGGGCUCGUAGGCGGCCAACUAAGUCAGACGUGAAAUCCCUCAGCUUAACUGGGGAACUGCGUCUGAUACUGGAUGGCUUGAAUCCGGGAGAGGGAUGCAGAAUUCCAGGUGUAGCGGUGAAAUGCGCAGAUAUCAGGAGGAACACCGGUGGCGAAGGCGGAUCUCUGGGCCAUUACUGACGCUGAGGAGCGAAAGCGUGGGGAGCGAACAGG
rnacentral:rRNA from 1 species